ensembl:lncRNA
GUCGGUUUAGGCAUCUCGGGCUGUGGCUUCAGGCCCUGGGGCCGGUGCUGGCCUCUCUAGCAGUGGCUUCAGGCCCCAGGGCAUGUGCUGGCCCUUUGGGCUGUGGCUGUAGGCUGCAGGGCCAGUGCUGCCCUAUGUGGCUGUGGCUUUAGGCCCCAGGGCUGGUGCCAGACUCACUGGAUGUGUCUGUGGCUUUAGGCCCUGGAGCUGGUGCUGGCCUCUCAAUGCCAUGAGUCUGGCUUUCUGCCCCCGGUCUGUGCUGGCCUCUCUGCCUCUGGCUGUGGCUGUAGGCCCAGGGCUGGUGCUGACCUCUCAGGCUGAGGAUGAGUCUUCAGGAUGCAGCGCCAGUGCAGGCCUGCCUGCCUGCGGCUUCAGGCCCCGGGGUCUGUUUAGGCAUCUCUGGCUGUGGCUUUAGGCGCUGGGGUCAGUGCUGGCCUCUCUUGUGGUGGCUUUAGACCACAGGGACCUCAUGCCUCUCAGGCUGAGGCUUUAGUCCCUGGGGGCUUUAUCCCCCGUGGCUGUGCCGGCCACUCAGGCUGUGGCUUUAGGCCCUAGAGCUUGUGCCGGCCUAGAACAACGUGCAUUUGAAAAUGGCUCAUGGAAGGAAAUGAAAGCAAGAGAGCACUGAGCUCUUCUGUGUGUUUCUUGGAUUGGGAUAGAGACAGGAGAGCGUGCUCAACCUCGUGUGGUUGCUUGUAUCCAGCAACACCAGUCGCAGCUGAGAACAUCGUCACAUCUUUAUUAGGCACUCCUCCGUCUGUCUCUUUUUGUCUCUGUUUUCUGGAAUGCAGGCAUUUCUCUUUGUGGCCCACAAACUCUUUGUGCCAGGAUAACCAAGUAUGAAUUCUCACUGCUCUUUACCCUGCUCAAGAGAAGGUGGCUGUACUGUGAGGGCAGGUGGGAGCAGGGACGAGGGUCAGGAGCAAGGGCAGAGUGCUUUCUUUGUUACUCAAUGGAAGGGCUGUGUUUUUCAGGUGGAUUUGUCGUGGUGCUUCUUACAAGGACUGACUAACAGUGGGAUGAGAUGUGCCCUGAAGGGGGUGUGCUUGCCACCUUGGAAAUAGGCAAAUACAAAUAAUUUAUCAGGACGGUAUCUCUGAUAAAGCAGAAUCUCGGCACAACUGCAAUGGCAGGCCUCCUGCAAGCAGGAGAGCACACAGAAAACAGCCUUCCAUUUUUACUCCCUGUUAUCGACGCUUACCUCUUU